rnacentral:misc_RNA from 1 species
GACUCCUACUUUUUGGGCACUGAUAGAUCUACACACUCAAUGCCAUAUCUUCUUUCGUGCACUCUUUACCUUCAAACCCCAUAACUGGUUCCACUUUCGUCUGUGAUGUUGGAAUCAAUGUCACUAACAUCGGGAUACCAUUUUCAGGUUAUGGAUGUUAGAAUCAAGCAUGCAUGACCCAAUUACUGUUUAGACAUUGCCUCUUCACUACUUCUGUG